AGAGCACCGAAGAGCCCUCUCUCAUGCGGUUAUGUUGAAGGUCACAUUGGUGUGAUGUGCUGGGAAUCGGGCCCAAGGCUAGAGCCCAACCUCAGAUCCACCAUCGCACACGGCUUGUUGAAUUUCCCCUCUACCCAUUCUGUUAUUUCCUGAUUCAGCUUCGCCCCAUGUACCUAUUCACUCUGAAUUUGCAUCCGGAGAAGCGAUGGGAAAUUUUACCGGGACCGCAAAGAUCAGAGACUAAUGGUGUAUAAAGAUGGGGUGAAGGAGGGCAGGAUGAAAAGAUCUAUAUUCUUGGUGGUGUUUCUUAUCAGAGAUGGGGAGCUGCUUGAGACUGUCAUUGAGUCCUGACCUCUCUGACUAAAGUGGGCCCUGGCGGGGAGCCCUCUCAUCACUGCAGGAUGGUUCCAUAUGGCUCAGUGUGCAGUCUCUGGGUUAUCAGCACCCCUGCUGAUUCCUGUGGCUCCAGAACUGCUCUGGCAGCAAAGAAGGACCACGGAUCAGGCACUGUAUCCAAAUGGGACGGGGACACCUAAUGAGUGGCUUCUGAUGAGGUCUCUUUAAUGUGACACAGGUUGCUGUAUGACAAACAACAGGAAACAUGAAUGUUGUCACAGAUUUGUAAUGUUCCAAAGCCUCAGCCAAGAAGGAGAGACUGAUCUCACACAUCCUGUGCUCCAGGUGAGCGGUGCUGCCCCGGCUCAAGGGCUUUUCUCAUCCUCAGGUUGAAACGGAUGGCAGCGCCCUGACACAGCAGGCAGGGGGUGUGAGGAAUCUGCCACAGGAGAUGGGAGCGGAAGGAACAAACAAUCCCAACUUGUUUACAAAGCGAUUACUCCAUUCACAGACUUCUUAGUCCUGAGUUUAUUCCUUAGAGCCAUAGGUGUGGAAGCGCCUUGUUAAAGCAUUGCUGCAGCGAGUGUGGAUGCAGGAGGGCUGGGAGGCAAUCUAUCAGUGCUGUCUGAGUGCAGGUGGAAGCAGUGUGGGAUGCCUGGCUGCAGGGCUCCGGCUGCACUGAGGGCACAGCCGACUCGCAUAUGCUCACAGCAUGCGUGCCUUCCUUGGGGGUUUUUCAGCGAGGGCACAGCAGGUGCUGCUGGAGCAGGGCAGUCAGCCUUGUCACUUAGAAAAUUCACCCUGUGACAGCAUGAGACAAGAAAAAUCCUUGUGGCAGCUGCGCCAGCGAGCUUCUCCAUCCAACAUCACUGCUGGAAAAAUAGUGGUUUUUCCUCAACUACCACUUGAGGACUUUCUGCAAGAAUAAACUAAAACUACUUUAAGGAACUGUGUUGCCAUUGCUACAUUCACAGCCUCAAAGCACAAUCCCAGCGGUGCCCCACUGAAGCAAGAAAACAAUUCCACAGAAAACUAUGCCUGCCAAAGAAAUGAUUUGUUCAAAGCACUUGGCUUCGAAUAGAUGCGUAAAUGCUUUCCUGAAAUUUGGAUUGUAAUUGAGGAGCAAUAUGCUCAACAGAACGUGCCUAAUGAAUAGGCAUCAAAAUUUAUGGCCGUAGAGAGGUAGCAGUAAUGGGUUAUGUAGGAGAUCAGUCCUACAUUUCUAGUCGAAGUGAGAGCUGGCAGCAGCCUGUGGAUAAAGAAAAAGUCCUUUUCCAGUCUCACCUCUUCCUUGAACAUCCUUCGUCAAAGAAGCAUAAAGGGGUAAUCUCCAAAGGUAAACGAAUGAGGUGUCAGCACACAUACGGUGCUGGUAGCAGAGCAGAACUAUGCAGUUUCAGUGGACCCAGAGGUCUGUACAAACAUGGGAGUUUUCCAAAUGCUGUAAUGCCUUUUCUACCUCCUGGCCAGAUAGUUCUGUAGCAAAGAGGAACAGUCCCAGCACUACAGCAAAAAGUUGUUUCAUAUCUCCUUGUGUUUGUACUAGAGAUUCCCCUGAUUUACAUGAAGAAGAGGAAGUGAGGUAUCUGCAAAAAAAAUGAAGUCAUCUUGCUAGAGGGUUAGGGCAGGAGCAGCCCUUGCCAUAUCUUUGGAAGGAUACCAUUUUUCAUGCUUUGUUUUUAGGAACUGACAAGAGAAAGGAAGUGUAGUGAGCAAAUAGCUAUUUUGAGUGAUAAUCAUGCUCUGGCAGCGGCUUGCUUGGUUACAUCUUCAUAGAUCUCUUCCACUUCGGUCUCUACAUGCACAGUUGUGCCUCUGUAUCCUGCCUGCAGAGACCAGCUUGAAGCUUGGGGAUUUUGGUACGCAAGCUGUAAAUGCAUUCACAUUUCACAUGACAGUUGCACUUACUGUAGAAUCAUUCAGGUUGGAAAGAUCACUAAGGUCAUCCAGUCCAACCAUCGACCCAUGCCUACGACUGCUGUAGACCAUGUCACCCAGUGUGGCAUCUCCCAUUUUAACAUCUCCAGGGACGGUAAUUUCACCACCUGCUGGGCAGCUGUGCCAAUAUCUCACCAGAGAUCCCAUCCAAACCCUGCAGUUCUGUGAUUCUGUGAUCUGGGGAAUCACAUAUGGUGUGAAAAAUACAGCGCACUUAACCACACUGCCAUGGGUGAACAAAGAAAGUCCUGCUCUCUGCAGUUGUAAACGUGAGCCUUUGGUGGAUGCUCAUUAGAGGACAGAACGAGUCAGGAAUGAAGACGAAUCAAAUAAAGUGCUUUUGUUUAUUUAUUUUUUGCUUUAAGAUAUGAAGUGAUUUUAAAAAUAAACCAUUGAUAAACUUCAUCAUUAGGAGAUAUCAAAGCAUCUGGUGAAGGAGAAAGCUGCUGAGAACAACAGGGCUCAAGUCUGUACCUUGAUUUUUACAGUCUCUUACAUAAAAUUGACAUAUACAGUGCCAAUAAAUA
ensembl:lncRNA